rnacentral:rRNA from 1 species
GAUUAACGCUAGCGGGAGGCCUAACACAUGCAAGUCGAGGGGCAGCGCGGGUAGCAAUACUUGGCGGCGACCGGCAGACGGGUGCGCAUCGCGUGUGCAACCUGCCUUAUGCUGGAGAAUAACCCGAAGAAAUUCGGACUAAUACUCCAUAAUACUAUUUUGUGGCAUCACGGGAUAGUUAAAGAUUUAUCGGCAUAAGAUGGGCACGCGUAUCAUUAGUUAGUUGGGGAGGUAACGGCUCACCAAGACUACGAUGAUUAGGGGUUCUGAGAGGAUUCACCCCCACACCGGCACUGAGACACGGGCCGGACUCCUACGGGAGGCAGCAGUGAGGAAUAUUGGUCAAUGGGCGCGAGCCUGAACCAGCCAUCCCGCGUGCAGGAUUGACGGUCCUAUGGAUUGUAAACUGCUUUUGUUUGCGAGCAAUAGUUUGUACGUGUACGAAUUUGAGAGUAGCAAGCGAAUAAG